rnacentral:lncRNA from 1 species
AUGUUUUCUCUUUCUUAAUAAAAUGUGUCAUAUUAAAUCAAAAGUUUCUUUGCUAACUAUUUAUAUUAUUUGGUCAGAUUUAUCUUUGUUUUUCUGUCAGUAAUAAUCUGUCCGGUUUUGAACAGGUUGUGGUGGAGGAACAGUGUGAGAAGAGCAAAGAGAUAUUUCAACACUUCAAAAGAUGAUACAGCACACCUUUUGCAAACUAGAGGAUGAUAAGGUUUCAUGCAGGCAGCAGAGCCAAUGAUUAUUUCUGCUUCCCAACGUGUAAUUAUGGAGGCAAG